rnacentral:rRNA from 1 species
UUUCGCAAUGCCCGAAAGGGUGACAAUGCGACGCCGCGUGAGUGAGGAAGGCCUUCGGGUUGUAAAGCUCUGUCAGCAGGGAUGAACGCAAGGGGGUGAAUACCCCUCUUGUCUGACGGUACCUGCAGAGGAAGCUUCGGCUAACUCCGUGCCAGCAGCCGCGGUAAUACGGAGGAAGCAAGCGUUGUUCGGAUUUACUGGGUGUAAAGGUCAUGUAGGCGUCUUACUAAGUCGGAUGUGAAAUCCCUUAGCUUAACUAAGGAACUGCAUUCGAUACUGGUAGGAUUGAGUACGAGAGAGGUAAGCGGAAUUCCGGAAGUAUGGGUGAAAUCAGUAGAUAUCCGGAAGAACACCAUUAGCGAAGGCGGCUUACUGGCUCGAUACUGACGCUGAAAUGAGAAAGCUAGGGUAGCAAACAGGAUUAGAUACCCUGGUAGUCCUAGCUGUAAACGAUGGGCACUAAGUAGAGGGGUUUU